rnacentral:rRNA from 1 species
CGCUGGCGGCGCGUCUUAAGCAUGCAAGUCGAACGGCAAGGCAGGUGCUUGCACCUGCCCUAGAGUGGCGGACUGGUGAGUAACACGUGGGUGACAUGCCUUUAGUUGGGGAUAGCUACUAGAAAUAGUAGAUAAUACCGAAUGUGAUCAAUAUUUAUAGAUGAUGUUGAGGAAAGGAGCUAAGGCUUCGCUAAAGAUUGGCCCGCGGCCCAUUAGCUAGUUGGUAGGGUAAAGGCUUACCAAGGCGAUGAUGGGUAUCCGGCCUGAGAGGGUGAUCGGACACAUUGGGACUGAGAUACGGCCCAGACUCCUACGGGAGGCAGCAGCUAAGAAUAUUCCACAAUGGACGAAAGUCUGAUGGAGCGACGCCGCGUGGAUGAAUGAAGGCCGAAAGGUUGUAAAAUCCUUUUACACUGGAGGAAUAAGCAGAGUAGGGAAUGACUCUGUGAUGACUGUACAGUUUGAAUAAGCAACGGCUAAUUACGUGCCAGCCGCCGC